GAUCAUGGCUCAGGAUGAACGUCUGGCGGCGUGCUUAACACAUGCAAGUCGAACGAAGCACCUUGAUUUGAUUCUUCGGAUGAAGAUCCUGGUGACUGAGUGGCGGACGGGUGAGUAACGCGUGGGUAACCUGCCUCAUACAGGGGGAUAACAGUUAGAAAUGACUGCUAAUACCGCAUAAGACCACAGCACCGCAUGGUGCAGGGGUAAAAACUCCGGUGGU
rnacentral:rRNA from 1 species